rnacentral:rRNA from 1 species
GGCCUUUUGAUUAUAAUUUAAGGUCUGACCUGCCCAAUGAGGAGUUUAAUGGCCGCGGUAUACUAACCGUGCAAAGGUAGCAUAAUCAUUAGUUUUUUAAUUGAAAGCUGGAAUGAAGGGUUUGAUGAAAAAAGUUCUGUCUUUACUUGAAUUUAUUAAAAUUUUAUUUUUAAGUUAAAAAGCUUAAAUAUUUAUUGAAGACGAGAAGACCCUAUAGAGUUUUAUAUUUUUAUGAUUUAUUGUAUUUGGUAAUUUUAAUUUAAUUUUUAAAAGUAUUUAGUUGGGGUGACUGAAAAACUAGAGAAACUUUUUUUUUACCAAACAUUAAUUUUUGGGCGGAUGAUCCUUUUUUUAGAUUAAAAGAAAAAAUUACCUUAGGGAUAACAGCGUAAUUUUUUUUAGAGUUCUUAUCAAAAAGAAAGAUUGCGACCUCGAUGUUGGAUUAAAAUAAGUUUUCGGUGCAAAAGCUGAAAAACUAGGUCUGUUCGACCUUUAAAUUUUUACAUGAUCUGAGUUUAGACCGGUUUAAG